CGAGCAAACUCCUUCCCGCAACACAUGUGAGACCCUCCUCCAAAGGGUACAAAUACUCGGGGCGGUAAUAUUUCUUCAAAUCUCGAAGGAUCAAAUUUCGCAGGCUUUGGAAAGUACGUUGGGUCCAUAUGUGUUGAAUAAACGUUCCAGUGUACCUAAUCAAUUUGACAAAAAAAUAUCACAAAAUCUUGUUGACAAAAGGUGUACAAUAAUUUACUGUACACCAAACCUAUUUUAGACAAGCCCACUUAACUCACACGUGUGAACUCAAGGUAUACUGUGAAUCAACUCUCAUUUGCUCUUUCUCUCUCCUCUAACGCGUUCUUCUCUCUCUUCCCUUUCUUCUUUACCAGCAAUUUUUCUUUCUGCGAUUUCUCUUGCCAUUUCUUCCACAUUCUGCUGCUAAUCUCUUCUGCCGCGAUCUACGAAUCUCUCAGCUCCGAUUUCUUUUACGAUUUUGAUGCAUUCUCCUCCAUUGUUCUUCAAGCCCUGCUGCUGCACCAGAUAGGCAAAUAUAGUUUGUGGUGGGCAGGAUGACCAAAUAUUGCCUUCAGUCCCCCAUUACUCCUAUUGAGGAAGAAGAUCCACCAUAUUCCUCGUCUGAUUCUAUUGUUACUUCCGGUCAUACUACAAAAGGCUAUUAGCUCAAAUGGUAGAGCAAUGUGCAAAAUUAUGUACAUGGUGUGGGUUCAAAUCCCGCAUAGCCUAGGUGCUUGCAAGUUGCGAACUAGGUUAUGAGGUUUUACAUAAGUGAAAAGUUAGGAAUAUCAACAUAAAAGUUAGCCUAGGUGUAGUAAAAGUUAAGAAAGAAGAUUAUAUCAAUUUACCUAACUUUUACUACAUGAAGCUUAACUUUUAAUGCAAACAGGCUAACUUUAAUUUUUUCACUCAAUAAGACUAACUUUAACUUCCGAGAUUUCACUUAAAGUUAAAAAUAUCAUUAUAAAAGUUAUCCAUGGUGUAGUAAAAGUUAAGAAAAAAUUUAUAUCAGUUUACCUAACUUUUACAACACGAACGCUAACUUUUAAUGCAAAAAACCUAACUAUAAUUUUUUCACUCAAUAAGACUAACUUUAACGUCUGAGGUAUAGUUAUCCAUGGUGUAGUAAAAAAUUUAUAUCAGUUUACUUAAUUUUUACUACACGAACGCUAACUUUUAAUGCAAAAAACCUAACUUUAAUGCAAAAAACUCUUUUUAUCUCUAAGACAUGUAGUAUAUGAAAGUGAUAUAAUGUAAUUACAUAUGAUGUAAUCACUCUUUUAACAUUAUAGUUUUCUAAUUUUUUUUGUGUUAAAGUUGUAAUUCCGUAGGUUAAAGUUAUGGAAACUGUUCUAAAAGUUAAGUAGUCUUCCGUCAUCUCAAACCUAACUUUUACUUUUAAUAACUUAACUUUAACUGCUAAAAGUCUGACUUUUAUAUUUCUACCUUUCUGUAGCUAAUGCGAGUCAUGCAUUCUUUUUAUUUCACCCAUUGUACUUUUUUGUGUUAAAGUUGUAGUUUUAUAGUUUAAAGUUAUGGAAAUUGUUCUAAAAGUUAAAUAGUCUUCCGUCAUCUCAAACCUAACUUUUACUUUUAAUAACUUAACUUUAACUGCUAAAAGCCUAACUUUAUAUUUCUACCUUUCUUCAGCUGAUGUGAGUCAUGCAAUCUGUUUUAUUCCACACAUUGUAGUUUUUUGUGUUUAAGUUAUAAUUAUGUAGGUUAAAGUUAUGGAAAUUGUUCUAAAAGUUAAAUAGCCUUCCGUCAUCUCAAACCUAAUUUUCACUUUUAAUAACUUAACUUUAACUGCUAAAAGUUUGACUUUUAUAUUUCUACCUUUCUGUAGCUAAUGCGAGUCAUGCAUUCUUUUUAUUUCACCCAUCGUACUUUUUUGUGUUAAAGUUGUAGUUUUAUAGUUUAAAGUAGUGAAAAUUGUUCUAAAACUUAAGUAGUAUUCCCUCAUCUCAAACCUAACUUUUACUUUUAAUAACUUAACUUUAACUGCUAAAAGCCUAACUUUAUAUUUCUACCUUUCUUCAGCUGAUGUGAGUCAUGCAAUCUGUUUUAUUCCACACAUUGUAGUUUUUUGUGUUUAAGUUGUAAUUAUGUAGGUUAAAGUUAUGGAAAUUGUUUUAAAAGUUAAGUAGUCUUCCGUCAUCUCAAACCUAACUUUUACUUUUAAUAACUUAACUUUAACUGCUAAAAGUCUGACUUUUAUAUUUCUACCAUUCUGUAGCUAAUGCGAGUCAUGCAUUCUUUUUAUUUCACCCAUUGUACUUUUUUGUGUUAAAGUUGUAGUUUUAUAGUUUAAAGUUAUGGAAAUUGUUCUAAAAGUUAAGUAGCCUUCCGUCAUCUAAAACCUGAUUUUUACUUUUAAUAACUUAACUUUAACUGCUAAAA